CAUCCAUCCAUCCAUCCAUCCAUCCAUCCAUCCAUCCAUUUGUUCCGGAGUCAUGUUGUGGGAGCAGCAGCUUGAGCAGGUUCUCGUUAGGCGCAGCCAGCUUAACCUACUGUGCAGACCUGCAGAGCUGACACCCUGCAGCCCCAGGGGUUGACAAAUGGAGGAAAAAAGGGCCUAAAGAUGGAUGAAGCACAAUUUCCCGAGGUGAUGCCAGGGGCCCCUUUUGCUCAUCUCUCCUACAGGCCCACCUAUUGGUGCCCCAGGGCAAAGGAGUCGGAGGCAGAAGGUGAGAGGAAGAUGGAGAGGGGACGAGGUCAGACUGAGAGCUUCGGGCGUUUUGAAGAAACACACACUUCUGUGUUUUCACUUGUCCAUCUGAAGAAUCACACUCACUACAUGUCUGAAGAAAUAAAAAGGAUU